UCCAGUUUAUCACUGGCAGUUUCCUUAGAGUGCCCGGCAUAACCCGCUGGUAACUAAGGAUAAGGGUUGCGCUCGUUGCGGGACUUAACCCAACAUCUCACGACACGAGCUGACGACAGCCAUGCAACACCUGUGAUGGUCCGGCCGAACCGACUUACAGGUUUCCCUGUAAUACGACCACCAUGUCAAGGCCUGGUAAGGUUUUUCGCGUAGCAUCGAAUUAAACCGCAUGUUCCACCGCUUGUGCGGGUCCCCGUCAAUUCCGUUUGAGUUUUAGUCUUGCGACCGUACUUCCCAGGCGGAGUGCUUAACGUGUUAACUACGACACCAAAAUCAAGUUCUGAUAUCUAGCACUCAUCGUUUAGGGCGUGGACUAC
rnacentral:misc_RNA from 1 species